GUGAUUAUUUCAAGAUGUGUCUACAGGGCCUCCGCGCCGAGUUCACGCCCGUGGUCUCCGGGCUGGGAUCUGCUCAUCCUUUCUCCGCGCGCCUGGUGGGGGCAGCGCUGGAAGCCCAGCAGCUUCCGAACCCCGACCCGUGGCUUCUGCGGGUUGUCAGGGAUGCGGCGGCCUCUGGAGGUGACCCAAGGGACAGCCUCUGUGCCGGCACCGUGUCUGGGGAGCGGGGGCCCUGUUCUGGGCGGCGAUGUCCAGUGCCCGAGCUCCUGCGCUGACCCUGCCAGGCUGCAGGGGACGCCUCGAGUGUGACCCACCCUUGGGCCACCCUUGGGGCAGGGGAAACUGUGGUCCCGCAGCUCCCAAGGCCCACGGUUUCUCCGGACGGGCUGCAGGCAGAUGGACCUUGGAUGGCAGAUGGAAGAAGCCAGGUACAAAGGGCCGCACAGCCUGUGAGUCCACUUACACGAAACGUCCAGAACAGGCAGAUCCACAGCUGGCAAGUGGUGCUGACUAAUAUUCCACCGUCUGGAUGGCCCACCGUUCACCCAUUCACCUCCUGAAGGGCGUCCUGGUUGCUUCCAGGUCUUGUCCAUUAUGAAUAAAACUGCCGUGAACAUCCAGAUGGCCGGAGGGGCCUCUGAUGGCCCUGGCUGCCCCUGCGACAGCGCCUGGCUCAGGGGGCAGCACUUCCUCAGGCCCGAGUGUCCCAGCCGGCUGUGAGGACCAACUACAGCUGGACAAGUGACUUGAUCUGCAGUUUUCCUCCCUGUCAGUCAGCUCUCAUUGCACCGAAAUCAUGUUUAGACGAUAGGACCAGGCACACUGGCUGCCGCUGCCCCGGAGGAUUCUAGGCGGAUGGGCUAGAUGAGAUGCCUGAUGAGACAGGAUGUCCUCGACAGCAGCUCUGAAGUCCAAAUUCUGCCACUUUGGAACCAGCAGCCCGAACACCAGCCUGGACCAGCCCUGCGCUCCAUGGCCCAGUCCACUGCUGCCCUUCACGCAGGGCUCCCCGGCCGCUCCGCAGACCAUCUGGGCUCUAGGCAUCGUUAAUUUUCUCAUUUUUGUUUCAUGUUUCAGCUUUGUGCCGAGAAUAUCAAUGAAGGAUAUUUAAAUUUAACAAUGAAGGAUAUUUAAAAUUCCGUUCCUUUUUUUCCCUCUUAUUGAAGUAAAACGUACACUCAGAAGUGGCACGUGCACCGUGCUGACGGAUGGCACGCUGCUUUUGCCCAGAUCGUUCAAGGGCUGGGCAGGCAGCAGGGCCAAGUGGGUCGGACUUGCCCCCAACUGCGAGCAUGCCCCCCCCGCCCCCCCCA